CCUACGUGAGGCAGCAGUGAGGAAUAUUGGUCAAUGGGCGCGAGCCUGAACCAGCCAAGUAGCGUGAAGGAUGACUGCCCUACGGGUUGUAAACUUCUUUUAUAAAGGAAUAAAGUGAGGCACGUGUGCCUUUUUGUAUGUACUUUAUGACUAAGGAUCGGCUAACUCCGUGCCAGCAGCCGCGGUACUACGGAGGAUCCGAGCGUUAUCCGGAUUUAUUGGGUUUAAAGGGAGCGUAGAUGGGUUGUUAAGUCAGUUGUGAAAGUUUGCGGCUCAACCGUAAAAUUGCAAUUGAUACUGGCAGUCUUGAGUACAGUUGAGGUAGGCGGAAUUCGUGGUGUAGCGGUGAAAUGCUUAGAGAUCACGAAGAACUCCGAUUGCGAAGGCAGCUUACUAAACUGCCACUGACAUUGAUGCUCGAAAGUGUGGGUAUCAAACAGGAUUAGAUACCCUAGUAGUC
rnacentral:rRNA from 1 species